rnacentral:rRNA from 1 species
UGGGGAAUAUUGCACAAUGGGCGCGAGCCUGAUGCAGCCAUGCCGCGUGUAUGAAGAAGGCCUUCGGGUUGUAAAGUACUUUCAGCGGGGAGGAAGGUGUUGAGGCUAAUAACCUCAGCAAUUGACGUUACCCGCAGAAGAAGCACCGGCUAACUCCGUGCCAGCAGCCGCGGUAAUACGGAGGGUGCAAGCGUUAAUCGGAAUUACUGGGCGUAAAGCGCACGCAGGCGGUCUGUCAAGUCGGAUGUGAAAUCCCCGGGCUCAACCUGGGAACUGCAUUCGAAACUGGCAGGCUAGAGUCUUGUAGAGGGGGGUAGAAUUCCAGGUGUAGCGGUGAAAUGCGUAGAGAUCUGGAGGAAUACCGGUGGCGAAGGCGGCCCCCUGGACAAAGACUGACGCUCAGGUGCGAAAGCGUGGGGAGCAAACA